AACAGUUUGUUUUGUUCCUUCUUGACACUUUGUCAGUGAGUUAUUGUUGGUCAAUCAUAAGAUGCUAUACAGUUGUAGUAUUGUUCACCAACAUAUAUAUUGUACUCCAUGGUUGGAAUAACUUUGUUGAUUUUUAAUAGAUUGGGUAAAUGUCCCAUAUCCUCUAUUCCAUAGUUCACUGAGAGUCUGAGAUGUUGAUGAUUCAAUCAUGUCCUGUGAAAAACAGCGUUUUCAUUAGAAAAUGUAUCUUCAUUGGAGCUCAGAUACCUUCAGAUUUGAAUUGCAGUAUCUAGAAGUAAGAGAGAAGCAAUAUGAUAAGAAGGUUUACCUUGACUUGUAUACGGAUUCUUCCCCCAAAACACCAGCAGUCUAAAAUACGAUGGUGCAAGUGGUUUUGUAGUCAUAAAAUGAGCUCUUGGUACAAUUGUUUUUUCUUGGAAAAAAAACUGAUGGAACCAAACUCUACCAACAGGUACUUAGCCACAACAAACAAGGAGGCCAAUGCAAACUAUCUGGGUCCUGCUUCGUGGGAAGAAAUUGCCAAGUUGUGCCCUGUUCAACUUAAAAGCUUUAUUGUGCUUGAAAUGAAGCUGGUUAAUUUCCAUGAAUCUGUGCUAUGUUCAGGCAAAUCUACCUUGCUGUAGGCCCAACUGGACCAAACAAAGAGUAUCUGUUAUAUGUUUCCUCAUUAUAAAAGAAGUGUAAAUGUAUGCAUCAGUUUUAUGUUCGUGGCGGUGGUUGUGGAUGAACAUGUUCAGGACUUGGCGAAUGCACCAUGUUAUCUUAAUAAAAGACCGCAUUGUGAAAAAUUAUGAAGUUA